rnacentral:rRNA from 1 species
AUUGAACGCUGGCGGCAUGCCUUACACAUGCAAGUCGAACGGCAGCGGGGACUUCGGUCCGCCGGCGAGUGGCGAACGGGUGAGUAAUGUAUCGGAACGUACCCUUCAGUGGGGGAUAACGUAGCGAAAGUUACGCUAAUACCGCAUAUUCUGUGAGCAGGAAAGCAGGGGAUCGCAAGACCUUGCGCUGAUUGAGCGGCUGAUAUCAGAUUAGCUAGUUGGUGAGGUAAAGGCUCACCAAGGCGACGAUCUGUAGCGGGUCUGAGAGGAUGAUCCGCCACACUGGAACUGAGACACGGUCCAGACUCCUACGGGAGGCAGCAGUGGGGAAUUUUGGACAAUGGGGGCAACCCUGAUCCAGCCAUGCCGCGUGAGUGAAGAAGGCCUUCGGGUUGUAAAGCUCUUUCGGCCGGGAAGAAAUCGCAUGGGUUAAUACCCUGUGCGGAUGACGGUACCGGCAUAAGAAGCACCGGCUAACUACGUGCCAGCAGCCGCGGUAAUAC